UACGUAGGGUGCGAGCGUUGUCCGGAAUUAUUGGGCGUAAAGAGCUUGUAGGCGGUUUGUCGCGUCUGCUGUGAAAAUCCGGGGCUCAACCCCGGACUUGCAGUGGGUACGGGCAGACUAGAGUGUGGUAGGGGAGACUGGAAUUCCUGGUGUAGCGGUGAAAUGCGCAGAUAUCAGGAGGAACACCGAUGGCGAAGGCGGGUCUCUGGGCCGUAACUGACGCUGAGGAGCGAAAGCGUGGGGAGCGAACAGG
rnacentral:rRNA from 1 species